CUGGCAUGUCGCGUGUCCCCGAAUACGGCAAGCAGUUAGGAGUGUCGGUGCUUCAUAAAUUGCAUCCGAUGCCUUUGUUUUGUGACAAUAACCUUUCUAGAGGUGAUCAGUCGAUUUGUCCUGAACUUGUUGGCUCCAGAGCUUCUCCCUGGACCGAUGUACAGUCACUGGAAAGAAGCCAUGUGCUUCCUUGGUAAUGUACAUUAUUGCCUACUUUAAACAUAUGUUACCUGUAAUGCGAAUUGUGCUGGCAUGAGGAACGGGAACUGAAACGUGGUACACCACAUGCCUAAGGCAUGUGGUAAUAUAGCUUUAAACCUGUUAACCACUGAAUACAUGCUUCGCGCUGACCGUUUAACUCUAUGCUUUGGAGUUUGGAAAGUACAUGUGCCUCAGGGAUCAUGAUAAGUGCUUCUGUGCAUUAGUUUAGUGUAAUGGGCAUAAUUCCUUUUCAAAGCUUAGUGGAUGAAACAUACAUCCGGAAGCAGGGGAGUACUUUCCAUGAUGCAAGUGUUUUUGUAUUAUCUUCUUCUCAUUGUCAAUUUAUCCA